ensembl:lncRNA
CUCCACACUCCGCCCUCCCCCCUCCACACUCCGCCCUCCCCCCUCCAGACGCUGCCCUCCCCCCUCAGGAUGUUAUUCUAUGUGGGAGCGAGGAGGAGGCAGACGAGACGCCACAGAGCGAGACUUUGAAGAGGACCCUCCAUUACCUGUUGUCACAAAUCUACAAAGACUUUAUGGACGAAGUAAAAGCAGAACAGAGGAUCGUGCAGCUCCUCCGCAGGUAAAGACGUCACAGCUGAGUCUGACAGGGUUUUACUGUCAGAGGAAGAGGACAUAGAAUCUUAGUGUAGAAUGUCCACAGAUAAGAGAUAAAAUAAUCAUUUGGUUCAAGACGAUUACCCAAUCAGAGAGCAGAAUGAGCCUCACUUGACUCUCAUUUGUGUUGCCAAAUCCAGUAGUUUUAAACCUAAAAUGUCUCUCUCUGAUCUGAUUGGUCACUAAACCCCAACACCUGCAUCAGGACUCAGAGCUAGUGCAGCCUCUGCAGGUCAUGAAUGUGAAACGUUUACUUCCACAGUAGAUGAGAGGUUUUGACUCUGUGUUUGACUCCACAGAGAGGACGAGCGGAGCAGAGAGCAGGACUCUGCUGAACAUCUGGAGAAGCAGGACCUCAUCAGUUUGUUCAGAGACAUCGAGAAAGCGGGAAAAAACAGCCAAUGCACAAGCUCUGAUUAUUUGGGGAUGGGAUUCCAGAUCUCACCGUUCCGUGAGGAGCAGGAUGUGAACAUCGCGCGCUUCCUGUUCCUGAGAGAGGAGGAGGGGCUCAGAGAAGAGACACAGCGUCUCCGUAGAUACCAAACACUCCUGGAGCAGUGGAGCGAGACUUUCACACAAGUACAGCAUGAUGUCUCUGCCUGCGUUGGACGGUUACUGAAGAACAUGUUAAAACAGGUCCACAAAGACAUCGACUACCUCAGUGAGGUGAGGAGGCUUCAGCCCCUGUGUCUGCCCUCCAAACACUUCAGUGGCAUGAGUCCAUCUGCUUUUCGAAAAAUGAAAAAGAGCAUGAUGGAGAAGUUCAGACCGAACAUGGAUGAACUCAGGAGGUGGCAGAUGUAUUGCCCACAUUUGUCUCUCCUCUCGUUCAAAAGCGAUCUCACGCUCACUGUUCUGUGCACGUUUGGGAGGUUCUACCAGAGCAGCAGUAAAAAGGCGAGGCGUUCACUGGCUGCACGAAACACCAGGAAGUGGCUGAGAUGUUUGCACACGAGGACAGCAGGGGGCGCACAGAGGCGGAGCAGGCGCAGGCUCAUAGACAGUGGACUCAAACUCCGCUCUCACGUCACACGUGGCUCUGGUCUCUCUCUGAAACCAGGUGAUCGCACGGACCUCAGCACCUCCAGCGUCUCUCACUCCCAGAGCCUGACUCCAAACUAACCAUAGCCUGUCCACUCAGCCCAUCCGGCUUUCUGUUCCAACGCAGACGCCUCUGGACUCUCGCUCAGAGUGUGUUUAACUGAGAGCUUUGGUGGAGAAGGGUUCAGAGGUCGUCAUCUGGACAAGAUUUUGAAAUUGAGACAUUUGGACUGUGGAGGUCAUUUUCUCUCUGAAGGUUUCUGAGAACGUUUGUCCUCCUGUCCUGAGCUGGAUUAGCCCCGCCCUGUGGGAGGAGCCUGUGGGAGGAGCCUGUGGGAGGAGCUUCUCAGUCCAGUCCCUUCAGAUUCAAAAUGACGUCUUGAGUUGAAACGUCUGUAUUUGAAAAACAGUGUCCAGAUGACGACCACUGAAACGUUUUCUACAAAUGAGGCACAGACUGAGACCUGAUCUCAUGCUGUUUCACAGAGGACUUCAGUGAUGACUCCCUGUGGGGAAGAUUCCAGAUGCUUCUGCUUUUGAACAGAAAGCCAGAUGGGCUGGCUGGCCAGGCUAGCAAACGGGGUAAAGGGGAUAGAGCAACGGAAUCAGUCCCAGGAAACAGGAUCAGGGCUGUGCAUGUGCCAACAGGAAGUCAUGUUAAACUGCACUUAAAAGGAUUUGUGAUUUAUAGUAAUUAUUGUUUAUGAUAACACUAUUUUAAUGCCGCUUAAAAACAAAAAUUUUAAUGAAUAAGUAAGUAGUUUGAAAUACAGCAAAAUACACUGAUGGUGAUCCACUUUCUAAAAAGCAGAUAGGAUUAAUAUUAUUACAAAGGUUUAUCGGGGAUGACGGACAGGCUGCGUAUCAGAGUAAAACUAAGUCCUGUGUUUAUCUCGAGUUUAUUUUUUGUUUCUUUUGCUCGCCAUUUAAAAGUCUGAGCUGGUGACUGUCGUUAAAUUAAAUAAUAUGCCUAAUAACCUUUUGUAUAAGUAAUAAGAGACCAUCUGCUCUGCUGUAGAUCACGUCUUCUCUACGUCUCUUAUUCUGAAACGCUGUGAUCUAGACUUGGAAGAGUUCAUUUUCAAAAAGAGAUAAGAGUUAGAGGCCUUUUGACAUUUUCAAAUGUCUCUUGAUACUGUAAUAUUUUCAAAAGACAAAUGUAUUUUACUGCCGUUAAAAUAUAAUCCUAUCUCUUCUUGAUAAAAUCCACUUUACAUUAUUGUCGUUGCUAAUAUCUCUAGAAGAUGGAAACAAAAAGAAAACUAAAACUUUUUGACAUUUUUUCAAAACACAUCCGAUUGUGCUGUUGAACUCUUCACUCAUUUAUUGUGUUUAAUUCUUUUUUAAAGUAUAA